rnacentral:rRNA from 2 species
CGGAUUGUAGUCUGCAACUCGACUACAUGAAGCUGGAAUCGCUAGUAAUCGUAGAUCAGCAUGCUACGGUGAAUACGUUCCCGGGUCUUGUACACACCGCCCGUCACACCACGAGAGUUUGUAACACCCGAAGCCGGUGGAGUAACCUUUUAGGAGCUAGCCGUCGAAGGUGGGACAAAUGAUUGGGGUGAAGUCGUAACAAGGUAGCCGUAUCGGAAGGUGCGGCUGGAUCACCUCCUUU